CAUCGCCUCUUGCAACCAUAAGAGGUCCAGCCUGCCCAGUGAUCUAAUUCAACGGCCGCGGUAUCCUAACCGUGCAAAGGUAGCGUAAUCACUUGUUUUCUAAAUAAAGACUAGUAUGAAAGGCAUCACGAGGACUUAACUGUCUCCUUUCUCCAAUCAGUGAACCUAAUCUUCCCGUGAAAAAGCGGGAAUCCACCUAUAAGACGAGAAGACCCUGUGGAGCUUUAAACAUAAUAACACCUGCCACCAUCUCUAACAACCCCGGUACCUCCUUCAAGCGGCACCCUGAUUAUAUGUUUUUGGUUGGGGCGACCGCGGAGAAAAACUCAUCCUCCGCAAUGAACGGGACUUCUUCCUUAAACAAUAAGUCACAACUUUACGUAUUAAAAAAUUAACAUUCCUUGACCCAAUAAAUUGAUUAAUGAACCAAGUUACCCCAGGGAUAACAGCACAAUCCACUUUGAGAGCCCCUAUCGACAAGUGGGCUUAUGACCUCGAUGUUGGAUCGGGAUACCCCAGUGGUGCAGCCGCUACUAAAGGUUCGUUUGUUCAACGAUUAAAAUCCC
rnacentral:rRNA from 1 species